CUUUCCAAUAAAAAAAAAAAUAAAAUAAAUCUUAAAAAAAAAACAUUGCAGGGCCUUACACACAUAUACAUACACUCGUGAACCCACUUGGAACAGUGCUGUGGACACACUCGUGAACCCACUCGGAACAGUGCAGGACCUGCUGCUGCUCAGGAUAGCUACACCAGAGUGUUUGUGAUCCAGGACCUGGCUCUACUCAGUUCCAGCAUGUACCCUGGAAAGCUGUGUGCGAUGGCUGAGACCAUGGGAGGCCUGCCUCAACUGUAGCUUGUUUCAGCCUGGUCCAUGGUGGUGGCCGAGUGAACCAAUGAGUGGAUGGUAUCUCUCAGAAGAUUCAAAAAGGCAGCAGUCAGCAGGACAGGGGAGAGACUGGGACCACAGCCAUCGCAUAGACCUGUGAGGUUCACAUGUAGGUCAUCAUUGCCAGCACAGGCUGGGUCAGUAUGCCUGGGACAUUCUUCGCUCCUGCUGUUAACUAUCUCCUAAGAACACAGUCGGCUGUAAAGCUCAAGAAAUUGGAAAUGAUCCCUGGCCACAAAACAAAUUAGGGUUCAGUGGCUAAAAGGAACUGUGAAAAAUCCCUGGUACUUGGAAGUUAUUACUCACCUGCAGUGAAAUGUCAUGUUUGAGUGCUGGUUCAAGUCCUGCUGCUCUCUUCCAGCCCAGCUUUUUGCCCGUGCACCUGGGAAGGCAGUGGAAGAUGCCCAAAGACUUGGACCUCUGCCACCAACUGGGAAACACAAAUGGAGUUCCUAGUACUUGGCUGUGGCCUGGCCCAACCCUGGUGGCUGUGGCUGUUUGGGGAGAUCAUUGUCUUUCCUUCAACCUGGUUGUCUUUCAAGUAAGCAGAUAACUUUAAAAAGAUAAAUAUGAAAAAGUCUUAGUGUCUGAAAAGACUUAAGACUUCACAAUAAGAAAACAAGCAUGAAAAUGGCCCAAAGACCUUAAUAGACACCUCACCAAAAGAUACACAGAUAGCAGAUAGGCACUUAUU